rnacentral:lncRNA from 1 species
CGCAGACCGACAAAGUUAUUAUCACAAGGCUAAUCUAACUCGUCAGAGUGUUUUAAAGCAUCUCUCUGAUUAAAAAUGAGGAGAAAAAAAAUUGUGAAAGCUGAAGAACAGUUACAUGUAGGUGUGUCCUGCUAGUGAAGUGCUGGGAAGGGAAAAAGGAGAUUGUCUACUGGAUAAACAACCUCAAGGGCUAGGACACUGGCA